rnacentral:rRNA from 1 species
AGAGUUUGAUCAUGGCUCAGGAUGAACGCUGCGGCGUGCCUAACACAUGCAAGUCGAGCGAUCUUCUUCGGAAGAGAGCGGCGGACGGGUGAGUAACGCGUGGGUAACCUGCCUCAUACACAUGGAUAACAUACCGAAAGGUAUGCUAAUACAAGAUGAUAUAAGAGAUUCGCAUGGAUUCUUAUCAAAGCUCCGGCGGUAUGAGAUGGACCCGCGUCUGAUUAGCUAGUUGGUAAGGUAAUGGCUUACCAAGGCGACGGUCAGUAGCCGACCUGAGAGGGUGAUCGGCCACAUUGGAACUGAGACACGGUCCAAACUCCUACGGGAGGCAGCAGUGGGGAAUAUUGCACAAUGGGCGAAAGCCUGAUGCAGCAACGCCGCGUGAGCGAUGAAGGCCUUCGGGUCGUAAAGCUCUGUCCUCAAGGAAGAUAAUGACGGUACUUGAGGAGGAAGCCCCGGCUAACUACGUG